rnacentral:lncRNA from 1 species
GCUAAAGUCAACAGUCGCUCGGUUUGAGCUCAAAUAAAUGCAGGGAUGCCUCGGCUCGGCGCAGUCGGACGCCUCCCUCCGCGCAUUGGACGCUUUGCCACCCGCCCGCCUUCCAGCCACUGCAGGACCCCCUGGAUGCAAUCCAGCUCAAUUGUGGCUGAGAAAACAUACCCUGUACUCCCCAGAGCUGUUAUUCUGCUCACCUCUUAGGCAGAUACUUUUCCUUCUCCUGAAGAUCUCCAUUAAGAAAGUUGCAAGUUUUGGGGGAAUAAUAUCUGUGAUGUCUGGCCACUGAUUCUCAAGGUUAGUUUCAAAUGAGCACCGAGAAAGACGUGAGACAUCCUUGGAUCUUUGCAGUGCCUGCUGCCCAUGAAAAUGUUCUUCAGGUGCAAAAGGACACGUAGGCUCUGUCACAAAUCUUUCCUCCAGUCUCCUCACCCUCCCAUGUUUCAUGGUUCCCCCUAACACUCCUGAUUCUGAUAUUUUGCUUCAAUGUUCAUUUCCCAUCUGUCUCCUAUUACUAGAAGGAAAGCCCCCAGAGAAUAUCAGUUUUCUCUAUUUGCUUUCUGUUAUAGACUGUGCCUGGCACAUAGUAGGCCCUC